UUGGAAUGUCAUAGUCUUUUACCUCUCAAAUGUUCUGUUUCUAAUGGUUAGAACUAGGAAGCUGCGGUAGCUAAUUGAGUCUUCUUUUUCCUAAUCUCAGUGUUUGGUACUCUGCGUGAAGGAGUAUAAUUUCCUACCCUAAUUCACCUGUGAUAUAAAAUAUAGGUGUGAAGGGGAGUCCUGCAAAGUGCUGAACACAGCAACCAGCUGUCUCAACAGCAGAGAUUAUUAGGUUACCUAUACAAAUAACACAUUUUAAGAAGUCAAGCCCCAAGGAACUGUUAGGUGGAAAUAUGUAAGUAUUGACAUUCUUGUUAUUUACUUCCUGUUCUGAGCACUUAAUCUGGUUGGUUUCAACUUUAACGUUUUACUCUGGAAUAAGGAAGAUAAAAAG
rnacentral:lncRNA from 1 species